AUGGGGUGGCAAAGAGUCGGACAUGACUGAGUGACUGAACUGAACUGAACUAAGACAAGAAGAAGAUGGCAGAGUACUUUAACUUCUUUGAGUCUGAAUUUUCAAAUCACCAAAAUGGGAUUUGCAAGGCCAGUUGUAUGGAGGAACUGUCAGGAUGAAACCAGAUAAAAGACUCAACCAUGAAAAUAAGAUCGCUUCAGAGGCUCAGCUUCUUUGGCCCAGAAUCCAAAGGGAUGCCAUUAAGCAUUCUGAAUAAUUAAAGCUAACAAAACUCAGCAUGUUUGUUGUCAUUUUUCAUGAUCAAGAACCAUAAGAGGUAAGCACUUUUAUUAUAAUACAAAUGAGAAAAUUGAAGUUCUGAGAGUUUCUGUAAGCUGCCGAGGCCACUCAGUUGGUGAGUGAUAGAGCAACGAUUUGAACCCAGGCAGUCUAAAUCUAUGCCAACAAAAUUAAUCCCCAAGUUAUUUUGCUUUUGUUGGAAUUCCAUAUUCCAGUUAUAUGUGACACUUUGAGAAUAUGCCAGCCCUCCUCUGAGGAAAGA